CUCCCUGUGGCUCAGUUGGUAGAGCAUGGUGUUUGCAAUGGUGUUUACAAUGCCAAGGUUGUGGGUUCGAUUCCCAUGGGGGGC
rnacentral:tRNA from 1 species